AACAAAAUAAAAUCCAAUAAUAAGUGUCAGUCUAUUUACAAAUUACACUUCUGGCCCAAAAGUCCCAAUAAACUUAAUUACAUAGCCCAAAACAAAAAUAAAACAUCAGUCCAAUUAUUAAAGCUAACCCAAUUAAUAAAUACUCAUUACAAGCCCAGACCUAGACUAAACAUAACCUAAGCAAGCCCGAUAGGCCCAUCUCCUUAAUAGUUUUCAGAAAACCAUAGGGCAAAGGGUCCCUCGUGCCGCAAGCAGCCACCAGUGGCUUCACAUUUCACGCGCGCCACUCUGCGUCGACACGUCACCAUGAACGGCUUCUCCACGCCGUGCAUACCUGUAAAAUAGACUGCCAGCACACAAAUAACAACAGAUAACAACAAUACAGCAAAAAAUAAAGAUUUUUUAUUUAUUUUUCCAGAAUAUUCUUGAUGUAUUUUGGCUAUAAAAAGCCGUUGUAAGCACUAAAAUGGAGAUCACGAAAUAUUGAAAAAAGAAACUAGCAAUGAAAAACUAAGGUAAUUUCAGAUUUCAUUUUCUGGUGUUUCGAUUCAUUUUUUUCCUUUAUUUCUCCACAAAAUUCUUUCACAUUAGAAUAAAAUAGAAAAUAAGAGAUUUACCUUGCGAAUGUGCUAAGAGAUUCCCUCUUCUUCGUCGAAAUUGGGGCAUAGAAGAAAUCUAGAGGUCGAGUUGUUGUUCCUCGAAGCCCGAAUCUAUUGGUCACUGUUGGUAGGGGCCGAUCGGUGCUUAGGAGAGGAGAUUGGGGAUUCAGUUAAGGGGAAAUAAAAAAGGGGAUGCUAGGGUUUAGUUCAGCCGAAUUUGGCUUGUUUUUAGCCUUUAUAAAGGAGUAAAAACGGCGCCGUUUUGAGCCUUUCUCAAUGGCUCCAAAACUGUAUUGACCAUGACCGAUCCGGUUACCCUGGAGGAUCUGCGCGUUCUGCUUAAAGGGAAAAAUUGUGCCAUUGAUCCUUCUCUCUCGCAUGGUUAUUCAAUUAGGCCUUAAUUGUUUUUUUCUUUGUUUUUUUUAAUUUGUCCCUGAGAUUUGCACGUUAUUGUGAUUUAAUUUGUGCUUAAACACAGCGUUUUGAGAUUUGGUGUAUUUUGUAUUUUGAUCCUCAAUCAUUUGUGCGCAUACUAUUUCAAUCCUCAGCUUAGUUUUAAUGAUUUGUCUAUUUAUAAAUUAUCAUCCUCAGCUUAGUUUUAAUGAUUUGUCUAUUUAUAAAUUAUCCUUCCAAUUUUUU
rnacentral:lncRNA from 1 species